rnacentral:rRNA from 1 species
CACAAGCGGAGGAGCAUGUGGUUAAUUCGAUGAUACGCGAGGAACCUUACCUGGGCUCGAACGUAAGAUGACUGUAGGUGAAAGCUUACAUCUCUUCGGAGCAUUUUACGAGGUGCUGCAUGGUUGUCGUCAGCUCGUGCCGUGAGGUGUCGGGUUAAGUCCCAUAACGAGCGCAACCCCUACCUUAGUUGCCAUCAGGUUAAGCUGGGGACUCUAAAGGAACUGCCUACGCAAGUAGUGAGGAAGGCGGGAUGACGUCAAAUCAGCACGGCCCUUACGUCCAGGGCUACACACGUGCUACAAUGGCCGAUACAGAGGGCAGCUACCUGGUGACAGGAUGCAAAUCUCCAAAGUCGGUCUCAGUUCGGAUCGGAGUCUGCAACCCGACUCCGUGAAGUUGGAUUCGCUAGUAAUCGCGCAUCAGCCAUGGCGCGGUGAAUACGUUCCCGGGCCUU